CCUACGGGGGGCAGCAGUGGGGAAUAUUGGACAAUGGGCGAAAGCCUGAUCCAGCCAUGCCGCGUGUGUGAAGAAGGCCUUCGGGUUUUAAAGCACUUUCAGUGGGGAAGAAAGCCUUGGGGCUAAUACCCUCGAGGAAGGACAUCACCCACAGAAGAAGCACCGGCUAACUCCGUGCCAGCAGCCGCGGUAAUACGGAGGGUGCGAGCGUUAAUCGGAAUUACUGGGCGUAAAGCGCGCGUAGGCGGUCUGAUAAGCCGGUUGUGAAAGCCCCGGGCUCAACCUGGGAACGGCAUCCGGAACUGUCAGGCUAGAGUGCAGGAGAGGAAGGUAGAAUUCCCGGUGUAGCGGUGAAAUGCGUAGAGAUCGGGAGGAAUACCAGUGGCGAAGGCGGCCUUCUGGACUGACACUGACGCUGAGGUGCGAAAGCGUGGGUAGCAAACAGGAUUAGAUACCCGGGUAGUC
rnacentral:rRNA from 1 species